rnacentral:rRNA from 1 species
UACGAAGGGGGCUAGCGUUGCUCGGAAUCACUGGGCGUAAAGCGCGCGUAGGCGGCCCGGUAAGUCCGCUGUAAAAGUCAAAGGCUCAACCUUUGAAUGUCAGUGGAUACUGCCGGGCUAGAGUCCGGAAGAGGCGAGUGGAACUCCUGGUGUAGCGGUGGAAUGCGCAGAUAUCAGGAAGAACACCGACGGCGAAGGCGGCCCACUGGAUCGGUACUGACGCUGAGGUGCGAAAGCGUGGGGAGCAAACAGG